rnacentral:rRNA from 1 species
CAGUCGCCGCGGUAAGACAGAGGAUGCAAGCGUUAUCCGGAAUGAUUGGGCGUAAAGCGUCUGUAGGUGGCUUUUCAAGUCCGCCGUCAAAUCCCAGGGCUCAACCCUGGACAGGCGGUGGAAACUACCAAGCUGGAGUACGGUAGGGGCAGAGGGAAUUUCCGGUGGAGCGGUGAAAUGCGUAGAGAUCUGGAGGAAUACCGGUGGCGAAGGCGGCCCCCUGGACAAAGACUGACGCUCAGGUGCGAAAGCGUGGGGAGCAAACAGGAUUAGAUACCCGAGUAGUCCCUGUCUCUUAUAA